CUGCAUGAGAGAGCCUGGCUAGUCUCCUUUGGCGUGACAAUAUUCAAUUUGCAUCACUUUGGGGACCACUACUACUUAAUUCUACUUACGUUUUUUUCUUUCUUUCUUUUCUUUAAUUUUAAAAUAAGAAAAAAGAAAAAUUCUUCUAAUAACAUUAAUAUUAAUUUAGCUUUUGAUUAGCUGUUAUUCAGUUCUCCACAUUAAUGUUAAUUACUUAAUUAGAAUUGUAUCACUUCAGAGCCUCUAUUUAUACCCCCUACUUCAUCCCUUCUUCUCCAUCUCUCUGAUAAUUACAACCCUAGAGAAAAAAUAUAUAUAUUUAUAGAAGCAGAAAUAUUCAUUCUCUCAAUCUAUUUUUUCUUUCUUUCGUGAAAAGUUAUAUCGUGCUUUCAUUAAUAGUUGAAGCUGCCAGCAUGAUCUUAACUUUCCUCCUUGAUGAAGGAAGAUCAGAUCAUGUGGCAGUUUCACCUGUUAUCUGGUGGCAUGAGAAACCCUAAUGUUAUCAACCCUAAAUACUUCCCCAUCACACUGUAUUUUGCCUACCCAUGUUCUCCUUUUAGGGUUAUAAGACAUUUUCUUUAAUAUAUAGGAAAAAGGUUCGAUGAUUGCAAGACAUCUCUCACAGGAUCUAGAUCUGUUGAUUGGGGGUGCCUCGGUAAUGUUCAUGUAUCUAAUGUCGUCCUUCGUUUUUUUGGUAUAUAGUUAAUUGGUUAUGAUUUUUUUAUCCUUUCUCUGACUCUAUUAGGUAUACAUAUACAAUAAAAACACAGGAAUAUAUAUUGAUUAUAUAUCUUGUAACUUUUUUUUUCUCUUCGAAAAAGUUCUUGAUUGUUAAGUUAGAGCCUGAAUAAUUUCAGAAAAUAUCCUCAACCUGUUUACUAUAUAGGAACUUCUCUUUCCUCUCUCUUUCUCUCUGCUUUUCCAAGCAAAAUUACUGACAAAAAAUUAAGCUUCUUUCUAAUUUACAAGCUAAUAAAUAAAUAAAACUGAUCGAUAAGGGUCCAUCUUCUUUCCCUCUACAGCUGAUUUGGGAUUCAGCUACAUCCUAAUAAAAUAACUAGGGUUUCAUCAUGUGAAGCAAGUGAAUUUAGAAAUCAAACUAACCAAAUGAUGUAGACCAUUAUAUAUGUCAUCUGUAAUAUAAUAUAUAUAUACAUAUUUUUAUGAGAUUUUUGUCAUAGCUAGAUGUUGCCAGUUAGGCAGAUCAAGCAUGUCUAGGCUUCUGGAUCAGACAGUAUGUGAGACCAUUGUGUACCUUAAGCAUCCAUAUUAGAAUGUACUUUUUUUUUUGAGUUAGUCAAACUUAUAUAUAUAUAUAUAUAUUCAACUGAUGAAGUACUAUCAGUCAGCUAACUGAUCCUGCUUGAUCAUCAUGAAUGAGUGUCUUCCGUUGAAAUAAUACUGCUUGAGAUAUAAGCGUGCAGUACUAAGAACUGACUUUACUGACAAGUAGAUCUAGACAACCAUGGAGUUCCGAAACUUGUCUCCUUACAAAAUUCUUUUAACCUAGCUAUGCAUCUAUAUAUACACAUAUUAUAUAUAUAGAUGUACCAUAUUAUUCUUCAUGGCUUAAGUUCAGAGAUUAUGUUCUUACAUAUAGGACAGGUACUGUGUUUUUCCUUUGUUUUUUAUUUUAGUAUGCCUCUUCCAUUCAUUAUACAUUCAGGUUUUUCUAAUGACUCAGAAUUAGAAAAAGAGACAUAUAUAUAUAUAUAUGUAAAUGAUAUGAUAUAUGAAAGUCAGUACCAAACAAUUUAACAAGGAAAAUGCUUGAAGACUCUUUUGGGUUUUUGAUUUAUAACGAGCUGUUAAUUUGUCAGAUUAUUGAGUACAAGCUAAUUAGCAAAAGUCGAAGGAUCCAGUCAGCAAAAACAUUAAGGAGCAGUUCGAUCGCUAUAUUGAUUUUUUUGUGGCAUAUAAUUAUGAGAUCCUAAAUAUAAUAAUUAAUGUAUAAAAUAGAGAGAACAUAAACUUGCAUAUAUGAAACUUAAGUAUUUAUUCCCGAUCUCUUAUUAAUACUACUUGCAUUUUCAUAUCAAUUGAUGAACUGCACCAAUAUUAUAAAAUUAACUGUUAUUUAUCUCGUAUAUAUACUUGUUCAUGUAAAAUAUAAAUAUACUUGAAAUUUUGAACCCCAUAUAUAUACGAGCUUUCAUUCUCUCUCUCUCUGUAUAUGUGUGUGUACAUAAAUAUAUGUUACAUGAUGAAGUACGUUUCUCAAUUUGGUUGCCAUAUAUGUUAGAUGUGUACUUAAUUUGGAGGCCUGGCAGAAGCUCCAUUAUCUUCUCAAGAUUCCCCUAAAGUAGUUUUCAAUUUUCUCCUUCCCAGCUAAUAUAGUGCCAAUAUAUAUAUAUAUAUAUAUAUACACACUAAUAAUAAGAGAAACAAUAUUAUUUAUGCGUGUCUAUAUCAGCACUAUAGUGUGUUAAGUUUCAUUGUCAGCUACUACUCUACUACUGCAAGUCACGAGUAAUAAUGUCAUAUAGUUUCACAUUGCAUUAUUAACGGGCCUGGAUUUGUCGCAUACCAUUAAUUAAAGAUGCUCCUCGUAAGGGUAACAAAAAUAUUAUAAAAAGAAAUAAAGCUUGUCUUGAUAGAGAUUGAUGUAUGCAAUGUCUUUGUAUACGAUGAUAUAUAGAUUCAGUGGGUAGGUACGUAUCUUCGCUUCGGUUUAUUUCGAUUUAAGAUUUUGCUCGUUUUUAUUAAUUCGAUCCCGUUCUAUACAUCUUAUUUCAAUCAUUAUAAUUCUAUCUAUUUGAAUGUUGUAGCGGCCUAUAGAUACAAACAACGUAUAAUGGAUAUUUGUUUAGUUUUAUUUUCGUAAUUUAUUAAUUAUUUUUAUUAAAAUUGUAUGAUACUACAACAAAUAGUAUUUUUAGGGGCGACAUCCUAAAAGUGGCCGAUGAUAUGUGUUAGGGGUUACAUAUCGCCUCUAUCACGUCACCGCUAAUACGUCGACGCUAAUAGUCAUUAUUAACGGCGACAAAUAAAGUCACUUCUAAAAGUCUAAUAUUAGGGGCGACUUUGUUGCCGCUCAUAUUGAGAGAGUUGUCGCAGCUAUACUCAAUUUUGCAGUAUCUCAAAAAAAAAACCUAGGGGACUAAUAUGUCGCUGCUAAUAGUUGAUUAUUAGGUGACAAAGUAUCGCUGAUAACUCUUGAAUAAAGAGUUGUUUUUUACUUUUAAGCUUAUAAAUAUAGAAUUAGGCCGAGUGAUGUUUGUUUGUUAUUGUUAUUUUUAGUUAUUUCCUUUGCCUUUUUGUGUUAUUUUGUGUUCUUGUGUCUUUUUUAGUUUUUUAGAGCUGAAAGUGGACAAAUAAUGAAUUUAUGCAUGAAUUUUUCCAAAGACAACAAGGAAAAGUGAUUUGGCUCUAAAUUGUUUAACUUAUUGUGCUGAAAUGUUAAGUGUUGUUGUAGCAAAAGAAAUUUUGCUGGAGCAUUUUGAGCAGAAUACAAAGAGGAAGUCAGGGUAAGGUGAACAAAAUCAGAGUUAUUCAGCUGCAUACAAAGGAGAGACACGUGGCACCAUAGAUUGAGUUGUCAAAGAGUGGUAAGGUGAAAAAAAUCAGAGUUAUUCAACUGCAUUUUAGAGGAGCAAGUUCUAGAAGAGAAAAUGAAACUCAUGUGAGAGGCAAGGGGGACACUUUUGGCACAUGGAAAAAAUGGUUUUGUAUCUUAGCUAUAAAAGAAAAAGAAAAUGAUAGCCUCCAUUACCCAAUUCAGCCAUCUUUUAGAGAGAGAACCACCUAGUACAAUGAGAUUUCAGCAAUACAAAGAAGGAAAGAGAGAAAAGAAGAAGAGAAUAUUCAUUCCAUCAUCAUCUCGGGUUAUUUCUUCUAUUUGUUUGUCAUUCCUUUCCUAUUUUCUCUAGUAUUUUGUGAUUGAUUACUCAUGGAAAGAUUUGAAUUUGUAUUUCUUGAUUUAGCCAUGAACUAGUUAUUUUGAGGCUUGGAUUAUUAAUGAACUCUAUGUCUUAAUUCUAAAUUUCUAGCACUUUAUUUUAGCAAAUUAUCCAUUGUCCAUUCAAA